AUGGAGAGGGUUGACGGAGGAGCGGGGUUGGGUGCGCGUGGGUCUGCGGGGGCGAUGCUCGGCAUGGAGAUGCACCUCGUCCACCAGCCGCAGCCGCAGAUCCACGCGGCCUCCUCGUUCCAGCAGCCGCCGGAGCACCUCCACCACGCCAACGGAGGCUUCCAGGUCCAGCACCACCAGGCCAUGCCGAUGGGGCAGCAGCACCCGCCACCGUCGUACGCGGCUUACGUGGCGCCGCCAUCGAGGGUGGUCAACGCGCAUGAAGAGGAGGAGAUGGGCAACGGCGUCGCCGCCGUGCAGCAGCCGGGGGCGGGGACAGCGGGGUGCUCGUGGUCCCGGAUGAAGUGGACGGAUGCGAUGGUGCGUCUGCUCAUCGCGGUGGUGUACAACGCCGGGGACGAGGGGGAGGGCGCGUCUGCAGGAGGCAGGGCGGCGGCGGCGCAUUCGCACGGGAAGGCGGUGGCGUCUGCGGCGGCGCAGGGCGGGCACGGGCCGCAGGCUGCGGCGCAGCAGAGGAAAGGUAAGUGGAGGUCCGUGUCCCGGGCGAUGGUGGAGAAAGGCUUCAAGGUGUCGCCGCAGCAAUGCGAGGACAAGUUCAACGACCUCAACAAGCGCUACAAGCGAGUCGUCGAACUGCUCGGCCGCGGCACGGCGUGCAACGUGGUCGCGAACCCCGCGCUGCUCGACGCCAUGGGCGAGCUCACGGCCAAGGCCAAGGAGGAGGCGCGCAAGCUGCUCAGCUCCAAGCGCCUCUUCUUCCGCGAGAUGUGCAACUACCACAACCCCGGCGGCACCGCAACAGCCUCGCACGGCACCCAAGGCGGCCGCCAGGUGGUGAAUUUCAGCACGCGCUCGGAGGACGACAGCGAGGACGACGUCCUCAGUAGCAAAGAGGCUGAAGAGGAGGACGACGACUACGACCUGGACGACGUGGAGGAGAAGGCGCCAGGCACCAAGCGCAGCGACGGCCGCAUCGACGACAGCAAUGGCUUCCACAACUACGGCGGGCACAAGAACAAGCGCCGUCGUGGCGAGAGCAGCGCGGCUGCGGCCGGGGAAGACGGGGAAGAGAACGGGAACAACAAUCCUGCCCGCGGGAUGCCGUGCACCAUGCAGCAGCUGAAGCGCGAGCUGGCCGCGGCGGAGGCCGGCGGCGACCAGCAGCAGCUGCGGCAGUUGGUGCGGCGGCGCGCGCUGGAGCUGGAGAAGCAGGAGCUGGCGUACGAGGUCCAGGAGUUAGCGCUGGAGAAGUACCGCCACAGGUGGGAGCAGUUCAAGGCCAAGAAGGAGUGGAACAUGGAGCACGAGCGCCUGCAGAUCGAGUGCCUACGCGUCGACGGCCAGCGCAUGCUGCUCGUGCUCAAGCAGAAGGAGUUCGACCUGGACCACCUCCCGGGCGCCCAGACCCCGCCGCCCGGCGCUGCCAUCCAGCAGCAGCCCGGCUCCAGCUCCUCCACCACCGGGCACCCCAACUAG
rnacentral:rRNA from 1 species